AACGAACGCUGGCGGCAGGCUUAACACAUGCAAGUCGAACGCCCCGCGAGGGGAGUGUCCGACGGGUGAGUAACGCGUGGGAACAUACCCUUUUCUACGGAAUAGCUCUGGGAAACUGGAAUUAAUACCGUAUACGCCCUACGGGGGAAAGAUUUAUCGGGGAAGGAUUGGCCCGCGUUGGAUUAGCUAGUUGGCGGGGUAAAGGCUUACCAAGGCGACGAUCCAUAGCUGGGCGGAGAGGAUGAUCAGCCACAUUGGGGCUGAGACACGGCCCAAACUCCUACGGGAGGGAGCAGUGGGGAAUAGUGGAAAAGGGGCGCAAGGCUGAGCCAUCCAUGCCGCGUGAGUGAUGAAGGCCGUAGGGUUGUAAAGCGCUUUCACCGAUGAAGAUAAUGACGGUAGUCGGAGAAGAAGCCCCGGCUAACUUCGUG
rnacentral:rRNA from 1 species